rnacentral:piRNA from 1 species
UCUUCAGAAGAGGUCCUAUGCUAUUUAUGU